AGUGGUGUUUUCAAAAAUAACUACGAAAGUUAACCGCGUCAUACCUUACGUAGCUAGGAAUGACACACGGAGAGCUUAUUUCUUGAUUCCCCUCUUAGCGUCACUUGUCUGAUGUCGCUAUCGUAUAUGGCAACAUUAUAACGGUUCGACGAAACAUUAGUUCUCAUCGAAGCUGAUAAGAGAAAAUAUCAUUGAAACCACGAUAUAGGACUAUGCAGCCAUCCAUUCUGCUAGCCUUGUGCCUGAUUGCAGUUUACUGUGUGCAGCCUUGUACUAUGGGCGGAUCUCGGAAAUCGUCCAGCGAAGUAACAGUGGCUCCAAACGAAGAAAGCUUUGCUGCAAUAUCCGUGGCAAUUCAAAAUGGUGCCCUCCAACGAAUUUACCAUCAAAUAGAAAUUGCAGAGUGGUGAAUGGAUCCGACGCUGAUUAUCCAUAUUGUUGCGCGCAAGUUAUAUGUCAAUAAAAUUUGUCUAAGUGCUCAA